rnacentral:rRNA from 1 species
GAUGAACGCUGGCGGCGUGCCUAAUACAUGCAAGUCGAGCGAACAGAUGAGGAGCUUGCUCCUCUGACGUUAGCGGCGGACGGGUGAGUAACACGUGGAUAACCUACCUAUAAGACUGGGAUAACUUCGGGAAACCGGAGCUAAUACCGGAUAAUAUAUUGAACCGCAUGGUUCAAUAGUGAAAGACGGUUUUGCUGUCACCUAUAGAUGGAUCCGCGCCGCAUUAGCUAGUUGGUAAGGUAACGGCUUACCAAGGCAACGAUGCGUAGCCGACCUGAGAGGGUGGUCGGCCACCCUGGAACUGGAACGCGGUCCAGGCUCCUACGGGAGGCAGCAGUAGGGAAUCUUCCGCAAUGGGCGAAAGCCUGACGGAGCAACGCCGCGUGAGUGAUGAAGGUCUUCGGAUCGUAAAACUCUGUUAUUAGGGAAGAACAAAUGUGUAAGUAACUAUGCACGUCUUGACGGUACCUAAUCAGAAAGCCACGGCUAACUACGUG